rnacentral:rRNA from 1 species
CAGUCGAGCGAGAACCAGGGCUUGCCCUGGGGACAGCGGCGAACGGGUGCGUAACACGUGAGCAACCUGCCCCAAAGACCGGGACAACCCGAGGAAACUCGGACUAAUACCGGAUGCCCUCACCGGGUCGCAUGGUCUGGUGAGGAAAUGGAUUCCGCUUUGGGAUGGGCUCGCGGUCUAUCAGCUUGUUGGUGGGGUAACGGCCUACCAAGGCGACGACGGAUAGCUGGUCUGAGAGGACGAUCAGCCACACUGGGACUGAGACACGGCCCAGACUCCUACGGGAGGCAGCAGUGGGGAAUCUUGCGCAAUGGGGGAAACCCUGACGCAGCGACGCCGCGUGCGGGAUGAAGGCCUUCGGGUUGUAAACCGCUUUCAGCAGGGACGAAAUUGACGGUACCUGCAGAAGAAGGCCCGGCCAACUACGUGCCAGCAGCCGCG